UACGUAGGGUGCAAGCGUUAAUCGGGAUUACUGGGCGUAAAGCGUGCGCAGGCGGCUUUGCAAGACAGAUGUGAAAUCCCCGGGCUCAACCUGGGAACUGCAUUUGUGACUGCAUGGCUAGAGUACGGUAGAGGGGGGAUGGAAUUCCGCGUGUAGCAGUGAAAUGCGUAGAUAUGCGGAGGAACACCGAUGGCGAAGGCAAUCCCCUGGG
rnacentral:rRNA from 1 species